UACGAGGGGGGGCGAGCGUUGUUCGGAAUUAUUGGGCGUAAGGGGUGCGUAGGCGGUUUGAUAAGUCUGAUGUGAAAUCUAUGGGCUCAACCCAUAGCCUGCAUUAGAAACUGCCGGGCUUGAGUAUGGGAGAGGUGAGUGGAAUUCCUGGUGUAGCGGUGAAAUGCGUAGAUAUCAGGAGGAACACCUGUGGCGAAAGCGGCUCACUGGACCAAUAACUGACGCUGAUGCACGAAAGCUAGGGGAGCAAACAGG
rnacentral:rRNA from 1 species